UAGGGAAUCUUCGGCAAUGGGGGCAACCCUGACCGAGCAACGCCGCGUGAGUGAAGAAGGUUUUCGGAUCGUAAAGCUCUGUUGUAAGAGAAGAACGUGUGUGAGAGUGGAAAGUUCACACAGUGACGGUAACUUACCAGAAAGGGACGGCUAACUACGUGCCAGCAGCCGCGGUAAUACGUAGGUCCCGAGCGUUGUCCGGAUUUAUUGGGCGUAAAGCGAGCGCAGGCGGUUUAAUAAGUCUGAAGUUAAAGGCAGUGGCUUAACCAUUGUUCGCUUUGGAAACUGUUAAACUUGAGUGCAGAAGGGGAGAGUGGAAUUCCAUGUGUAGCGGUGAAAUGCGUAGAUAAAUGGAGGAACACCGGUGGCGAAAGCGGCUCUCUGGUCUGUAACUGACGCUGAGGCUCGAAAGCGUGGGGAGCAAACAGG
rnacentral:rRNA from 1 species